rnacentral:rRNA from 1 species
GUCCACGCCCUAAACGAUGUCAACUGGUUGUCGGGGAAGUUAUUCCUUGGUAACGAAGCUAACGCGUGAAGUUGACCGCCUGGGGAGUACGGCCGCAAGGUUAAAACUCAAAGGAAUUGACGGGGACCCGCACAAGCGGUGGAUUAUGUGGAUUAAUUCGAUGCAACGCGAAAAACCUUACCUACCCUUGACAUGCUAGGAAGCUCGCAGAGAUGUGAGUGUGCCCGAAAUGGAACCUAGACACAGGUGCUGCAUGGCUGUCGU